rnacentral:rRNA from 1 species
CAGUAGCCGCGGUAAUACGCAGGUGGCAAGCGUUGUCCGGAAUUAUUGGGCGUAAAGGGCUCGCAGGCGGUUUCUUAAGUCUAAUGUGAAAGCCCCCGGCUCAACCGGGGAGGGUCAUUGGAAACUGGGAAACUUGAGUGCAGAAGAGGAGAGUGGAAUUCCACGUGUAGCGGUGAAAUGCGUAGAGAUGUGGAGGAACACCAGUGGCGAAGGCGACUCUCUGGUCUGUAACUGACGCUGAGGAGCGAAAGCGUGGGGAGCGAACAGGAUUAGAUACCCGUGUAGUCCCUGUCUCUUAUAC